UCACAUUUCACUCCUUAAAAUUAUGCUUUUAAAUUCAAAAUCACUCUCAAACCUCACCCAAAACCAUACUCAUCUCAUUCAUUGCAUAUUCAAAUGACACAUUCACCAUUCAACUCCUUCCCAUUCACUCAUAUCCUACUACUCAAAAAAUUUCAUAAAACACUCGUUCUUACCCAAAAUUGCACUCACCCUCACCCUCCCAAACCCUCAAAUUUGGGCUCGAUUUUCUCAAGCAUCACCAUCUCCUCAAGUUUUGAACCAACAAUUAUCAUAGCCACCUCGCAAGAAAAAGGAAAUUAUAACGUUAAGAUUCAUUCCAAACACUAAUCCUCUCAUCUAAAGGAAAAAAAAAGAAAAAAUCAUUAAAAACACUUUGUUCCUAGCAUGAUUACAUACCAUAUCACUAUCAUCAUUCUAAACAUGUCUUGAUUGAAGGUAAAGU
rnacentral:lncRNA from 1 species